CCCUUAGAUGUCCUGGGCCGCACGCGCGUUACACUGAUGCAUUCAACGAGCUUAUAACCUUGGCCGAGAGGCCUGGGCAAUCUUGUUAACGUGCAUCGUGAUAGGGAUAGAUUAUUGAAAUUAUUAAUCUUGAACGAGGAAUUCCUAGUAAACGCAGAUCAUCAAUCUGCAUUGAUUACGUCCCUGCCCUUUGUACACACCGCCCGUCGCACCUACCGAUUGGAUGGUCCGGUGAAGCCUCGGGAUUGUGGUUCUUGCCGCUUUAUUGUGGCGUGACCGCGAGAACUUGUCUAAACCUUAUCAUCUAGAGGAAGGCGAAGUCGUAACA
rnacentral:rRNA from 1 species